GGUUAAUUAUUGAUCAAACAAUAUCACACAAGGUGCAGCAGCUGACCUUUGACCUGUGAGCUUCAGACUCUUUGCUGGUGUGAAGUGUUUAAUGUGACUUCAGCCUGCAGACACAGAGGACUGAUGAAGCAGAAGAUUGUCUCUGUUUCUACACAGACCUGGUCCAGACAGCAGAGCUGCAGAGUGAAGACGUUCAUGGGAAGAAGCUGAACUAACUCCACCCUGACAUCAAGAAGAUGGAGGAAGAGGAUGGAGCAGGAUCUGCAGCAUCCAGCUGUGUGUCUGUGAGGAGUGACCGGUCCAAAGAAAAACCUCCAAAGUUCAGUAAUGAACCUGCAGCAACAAUAGCUUCUGCACAGUGUGGAGAAAGAUCCAGAAGCAGAGCUGGACUGCAGACAGCCAGUCAGAGCAGCUGUGUACAAACAGAUGUUGGUCUGCAGGAGGUUUUAGAUGAACAUAAGAUCAGUCUGAGGAGGAG